rnacentral:rRNA from 1 species
AGAGUUUGAUCCUGGCUCAGGACGAACGCUGGCGGCGUGCNUAAUACAUGCAAGUAGAACGCUGAAGGAGGAGCUUGCUUCUCUGGAUGAGUUGCGAACGGGUGAGUAACGCGUAGGUAACCUGCCUGGUAGCGGGGGAUAACUAUUGGAAACGAUAGCUAAUACCGCAUAAUAGCAGUUGUUGCAUGACAACUGUUUGAAAGGUGCAAAUGCAUCACUACCAGAUGGACCUGCGUUGUAUUAGCUAGUUGGUGAGGUAACGGCUUACCAAGGCGACGAUACAUAGCCGACCUGAGAGGGUGAUCGGCCACACUGGGACUGAGACACGGCCCAGACUCCUACGGGAGGCAGCAGUAGGGAAUCUUCGGCAAUGGACGGAAGUCUGACCGAGCAACGCCGCGUGAGUGAAGAAGGUUUUCGGAUCGUAAAGCUCUGUUGUAAGAGAAGAACGAGUGUGAGAGUGGAAAGUUCACACUGUGACGGUAUCUUACCAGAAAGGGACGGCUAACUACGUGCCAGCAGCCGCGGUAAUACGUAGGUCCCGAGCGUUAUCCGGAUUUAUUGGGCGUAAAGCGAGCGCAGGCGGUUAGAUAAGUCUGAAGUUAAAGGCUGUGGCUUAACCAUAGUACGCUUUGGAAACUGUUUAACUUGAGUGCAAGAGGGGAGAGUGGAAUUCCAUGUGUAGCGGUGAAAUGCGUAGAUAUAUGGAGGAACACCGGUGGCGAAAGCGGCUCUCUGGUCUGUAACUGACGCUGAGGCUCGAAAGCGUGGGGAGCAAACAGGAUUAGAUACCCUGGUAGUCCACGCCGUAAACGAUGAGUGCUAGGUGUUAGGCCCUUUCCGGGGCUUAGUGCCGCAGCUAACGCAUUAAGCACUCCGCCUGGGGAGUACGACCGCAAGGUUGAAACUCAAAGGAANUGACGUGGNGNNCGCUAGAUGG